CUUCCAAAAAACUUAAUUGCGUCCAAUUAGGGAGUUGUAUGCUAACCCCCAAGCAUGAAUCUGGCUGCCUUCUUUAAUUAAGUUCAUCAUCCAAUGAUUAGGGCAGUUUAAGAAUCAGUUUUGAUAUUCUAAUUAAUCUCAACUGUUUGAAGUCUACUUAAGCAAACAAACAAUGCUUAACGGUCGGUCAUCUAAAUCUUUUUUAACGAAAAAUUUGUGUUAGAUUUUUUUUUUUUUUAACUUAUCGCACAUCCAUUAACAACUCCAAAAUGAAUUUAAUAAUUUAGUACCAUUUGUUUAUGAAGUUGCUUGGUUGUUGAACAUGUAUCUUAUUAUUACCACCUGCUUUUUAUUCUUUUUCAGAUAAAUUUAAAUAUCUCAUUUUUUUCAUAUUGUGAGGCAGAAGUCCAUUCAUAGGAUUCAAUUAGAAACUAUAGAAAAAUAUUAUUAAUUUAAAAAUAUUUCUAAAAGUUCCCAAUAGUUUUUGAGCCCAAUAACAAGGUUUUUUGUUUGGCAACGUGGCAGCAAAAGAUCAUAGAAGAUCGCGUUAGAACUUGGAAGUCUUAUGUAUAACCCGCUUUUGAUUUCGGAUGGAGCCAUUUUCUAAAUUCAAAAAACUCCCGCGUAAAUCCAUACCGAAAAAAGGAUGAGGAGAAAUUACUGUCUUUCUUCUGAUCUCCGUCUUCGAGCUGUGGAGUUCUUAAUCGAAUCUGCUCAUGAACUUGAAGAAGUUAGUCCAAUCGUGAAAUACACUGCGUUGUCUCUCUUUGCUGAUCGAUUCUAUCCUUCUCUGUCCAGGUUUGUCGGACAACAAAAUAAGGGAAGCUGGCUUUUGCAGUCCAUGACAGAGAGCAAUUUGCAGUUGUUUGCACUUAUUUCUCUGUGGGUUUCCAGCAAAAUACAUGAUUCUCGUCCGCUAUCUGUCAAAAGUUUGAAGAUUUUUAGCGAUAAGACCAUCAAAGAACAGCAUUUUACAGCUCGAGAUUUCUUGGAAGCAGAAGUGGUCUUUUUGCAGGUAUUGAAUUAUGAGAUCGGUGCCGGAAAUAUUGCUUUUAUUUUCCUUGAAGAGCUUCUGAGUCAGUUCAGGGAAGUGGCAAAAGUUGGGGACUUCUUGAAUUCUGAGGCAUGCAUGGAUAUCAUGGAUCUUCUCUAUGAAAAGGAGGAGACAUCGGUGCUCUAUAGUUCUCCUCGUUCUCUUGCUGCAUCCACCUUGGUUGCUUCAUAUGUUAUUACAGUCCCGGAACAAAGGUGGAAGUUUCCUGUUCUUUCGUGGGUAAAAUUUGCAACCUCAUUCAAAGAAGAGGAUAUUGUUGAUAUUGUCAGAGACAUUCUUAAGCAUGUGUUUGAGGCUCUUGAUAGCAAAUGCAAUACCUUGGAGGAAAAGGAAUUUCUUUGAGGUACAUUUCUCCUACUCUAUCAAAAAUGGAUAAGUUUGUACAUCGGUCUUAACCUUUUGCAAGAGUUUAUUUGAUGAAGCUGGACACUAGCUAUCAAAGUUUCCUGAUUUGCAUUGCUAUAAAGGUUUAUCUGUAUUAUAAAAGAAGGACAAUAAAGGCUAAAUUUGUGGAAAAGAUGACGAGACUUUGAUGAUUAAAGCCGGAAUUUACUUUCCAACACAUCUGUGAUAUGUGAUCUGUGGCCUUUGGGGGUCUACCACACGGCCAACUAUACUCCAGUAGGUGAUAAAAAGUAUACACAUUUUUCCUUGAGCUUUUCUUUGUAGUGGGUUCCAUUAGGAAAAUGUGAAAUACAGAUACAUAACUUGCCUUUUGGGUUUCAACUUCAUGUGCCCCUACCUUUACUUGCAAGCCGGCAUUUCUCAACAGGAUGAGUCACGGCCAGCCGAUGGAGAUUAGAAACCAACAAGGGCAUUCGAUGGGGUUCAUGAUUUGCUCAACCCUGAUAUUGCAGUAGAAGCUCUCUAUUAGUUAAAAGAGUAUAAUUCUUUUUCGUUUUAUGCACACGUAUAAAAUCGCAGGCACAAAUUUCUAAGAACAUGUGUGCUUUUACAAGGUCCACUACAUUCUUCCCUAAUAUCAUGUAAGAUAAAGAAAUUUUGUUUCUGUUGCCAAAAUUACAUAGUCCGAGCUGCCAAAAUGGUUUUAUUUCAAGUGGGAUGUGCAAUGCUCAUAUCAAACACUGCCCAAUUGAUUUGUCCUGCCUACACCUGCCUGAAAUAAAGAUCCAAGUCCAAUGUCUGAAGAUUUUC